CGGCGUGGAUUAGGCAUGCAAGUCGAACGGUAUCAUCCUUUCGGGGGUGAGAGAGUGGCGCACGGGUGAGUAACGCGUGGAUAAUCUGCCCUUAAGUGUGGAAUAACGUACCGAAAGGUGCGCUAAUACCGCAUAAUGCCUGGCAACACAAGUUGUCCGGCCAAAGAAGGCCUCUGUUUACAAGCUUUCGCUUCAGGAUGAGUCCGCGUACCAUUAGCUUGUUGGUGGGGUAAUGGCCUACCAAGGCUGCGAUGGUUAGCUGGUCUGAGAGGAUGAUCAGCCACACUGGAACUGAGACACGGUCCAGACUCCUACGGGAGGCAGCAGUGAGGAAUAUUGCGCAAUGGGGGCAACCCUGACGCAGCAACGCCGCGUGAGUGAGGAAGGUUUUCGGACUGUAAAGCUCUGUCGAGCGGGAAGAAGUGUACCAUGGCUAAUAUCCAUGAUAUUUGACGGUACCGCUAGAGGAAGCACCGGCUAACUCCGUG
rnacentral:rRNA from 1 species